rnacentral:rRNA from 1 species
AUUGAACGCUGGCGGCAGGCUUAACACAUGCAAGUCGAACGAGUGGCGGACGGGUGAGUAAUGCUUGGGAAUCUAGCUUAUGGAGGGGGAUAACUACGGGAAACUGUAGCUAAUACCGCGUACCAUAGGAUGAGCCCAAGUGGGAUUAGGUAGUUGGUGAGGUAAAGGCUCACCAAGCCGACGAUCUCUAGCUGGUCUGAGAGGAUGACCAGCCACACUGGGACUGAGACACGGCCCAGACUCCUACGGGAGGCAGCAGUAGGGAAUCUUCCGCAAUGGGCGAAAGCUGACGGAGCAACGCCGCGUGAGUGAUGAAGGUCUUCGGAUCGUAAAACUCUGUUAUUAGGGAAGCGGUACCUAAUCAGAAAGCCACGGCUAACUACGUGCCAGCAGCCGCGGUAAUAC